UACGGGGGGGGGCAAGCGUUGUUCGGAAUUACUGGGCGUAAAGGGCUCGUAGGCGGCCAACUAAGUCAGACGUGAAAUCCCUCGGCUUAACCGGGGAACUGCGUCUGAUACUGGAUGGCUUGAGUUUGGGGAGAGGGAUAGCGGAAUUCCAGGUGUAGCGGUGAAAUGCGUAGAUAUCUGGAGGAACACCGGUGGCGAAGGCGGCAUCCUGGACCAACACUGACGCUGAGGAGCGAAAGCCAGGGGAGCAAACGGG
rnacentral:rRNA from 1 species